CUUUUCGUUGUAUUAUAUGUAGUUUGUUAACUUGUAAAUUAGGAGAUUUAUGUAUAGCAUGAACAGUGAAAUAACGAACGUAUUGAAAUGCAACUGUUAAACAGCUUCAUAUUGGGAAUAUGAGGGAUUUCGGCUACUUACCAAUUCAUCUCUAAAUAACAGUUUAAUUUGUCACUGUGAAAUACCCAUGUCUCUGUUCAUCUGCCCACCCGUCCGUAUGUCCCUCCCAUUAUGAAUAUAUUCCUGAUCACUCAUCCUACAGUUUAAAUGUUAGAAAGUUUUCACGUUGCUGUCCAUUCACCAGGUCAUUACAGAUGCAUAAUUCGGUAUACAUAUUGAUUCAUUCAUAGGGUCUUUGCUUUGAAAAUAAACACAUUUAUUCUAAAAACAGAUAUUGGCAUAAUACGGGCUAUGUUCUACUCAUAUAUUUUAUGAUGGUAUAUUACUCAACGGGAGGGAUUGUGUUUGAUUUUCAUAUGAUGAAGACAUUAUCUUUCAAUAAUUUUAUUUGAGGUCUAGAACUGGCAUGUCAGUAACUGCUUGUAGUCCUUUCAUAUCACAUGCAUCAAUGCCAUUUUGGUUAGUAUAUUUUGUUACCUAUUCUGACCUCGGACUCCAACUUCCUUUAAACUGAAUUUUACUGUGCGUAUUGCUGUGUGUUUCUUUUUUCUACAAUGGCUGAGGAAGCGGGGACGGUUGCGAUAUCACAUAACAUGUUUAACCCUGCUGCAUGCUUGCGUCUGUCCUAAUUUACGAGCCUUUGGUCUUUAUUACUCUUGUAUGUUUUUUUUAAAUUUUAGCUCAUUCAUAUGUUUUGGAUUUUUUUUCACUUAACUAGAACACAUGUUCAGUGAAAGGCCAGCUGUGGUCCGCCCUCUGUGCGUUGAAUACCCAUUUGUGGACAUCGGCUAUUUUCUGCUCAUUUGUUGGGUUGCUGUCUUUUUGACAUAUUCCCUAUUUCCAUUCCCCACUCUAUACAUUGAAGUGUGCCUGUGAUCAGUGUUUUUUGAAAGUGUUCGUGUGGUCAGGGUUAUGAUUUUUUUUAUUAAUAUUUGCUCUUUUGGGAAAUAGUUGAAUUUUGUAAUUGUUUUUAAUAAUUUACUUACAUAAGAGGUGCAUACCAUUUCCGGAUAACUCAUCCUUCAAUGAACCCUAAAACUAUAUGAGCCAAUGCCCAACUUUAUAUGUAUUUUAGAAUAACGCUUACCAUCGUUGUGUCAUCAUAUUUUCCGAUAAACAAUAAUUAUUCACAGAAAGUCCUACAUUGACUUUGUUAUAAUACCG
rnacentral:lncRNA from 1 species